rnacentral:rRNA from 1 species
GCAGUAUCCUGACUGUGCUAAGGUAGCAUAAUCAUUAGUCUUUUAAUUGGAGACUGGUAUGAAUGGCUUAACGAAAGAUUAACUUUUUUUGUUAUAUAAAUUGAACUUAAUUUUUUAGUGAAAAAGCUAAAAUUUUUCAGAAAGACGAGAAGACCCUAUAGAGUUUUAUGUUUAAUUUUAUUUUUUCUUAUUAGAUUUUUUAAGAAUAACUAUAACUAAAUCAUUUUGUUGGGGCGACAUUAAGAUAUAAAAAACUCUUACUUUUAAAAAUUUUUUUGAAAAUAUAUUUUGAUCCUUUAUAAAAGAUUAUAAGAAAAAAUUACCUUAGGGAUAACAGCGUAAUCUUUUUUGAGAGUUCUAAUCGACAAAAAGGUUUGCGACCUCGAUGUUGGACUAAAAUUUAGGCAAGGUGUAGCAGCUUUGUUUUAAGGUCUGUUCGACCUAUA